AAUUUUGGACAAUGGGGGAAACCCUGAUCUAGCCAUCCCGCGUGUAUGAUGAAGGCCUUCGGGUUGUAAAGUACUCUUGGCAGAGAAGAUAAGCUACCUCCGACUACGAGGUACCGCCGACGGUAUCCUAAGAAUAAGCACCGGCUAACUAAGUUCCAACAGCCGCGGUAAUACGUAGGGUGCAAGCGUUAAUCGGAAUUACUGGGCGUAAAACAUGUGUAGGCGGUACGGAAAGAAAGAUGUGAAAUCCCAGAGCUCAACCUUGGAACUGCAUUUUUAACUGCCGAGCUAGAGUAUGUCAGAGGGGGGUAGAAUUCCACGUGUAGCAGUGAAAUGCGUAGAUAUGUGGAGGAAUACCGAUUGCGAAGGCAGCCCCCCUGGGAUAAUACUGACGCUCAGACACGAAAGCGUGGGGAGCAAACAG
rnacentral:rRNA from 1 species